rnacentral:tRNA from 3 species
GCCCGGGUGGCGGAAUGGUAGACGCGGCUGACUCAAAAUCAGUUGGCCUUGACGGGCCGUAGGGGUUCGAAUCCCCUGCCGGGUA